rnacentral:rRNA from 1 species
GAUGAACGCUGGCGGCGUGCCUAAUACAUGCAAGUCGAGCGAACAGACGAGGAGCUUGCUCCUCUGACGUUAGCGGCGGACGGGUGAGUAACACGUGGAUAACCUACCUAUAAGACUGGGAUAACUUCGGGAAACCGGAGCUAAUACCGGAUAAUAUAUUGAACCGCAUGGUUCAAUAGCGAAAGACGGUUUUGCUGUCACUUAUAGAUGGAUCCGCGCCGCAUUAGCUAGUUGGUAAGGUAACGGCUUACCAAGGCAACGAUGCGUAGCCGACCUGAGAGAGUGAUCGGCCACACUGGAGCUGAGACACGGUCCAGAGUCCUACGGGAGGCAGCAGUAGGGAAUCUUCCGCAAUGGGCGAAAGCCUGACGGAGCAACGCCGCGUGAGUGAUGAAGGUCUUCGGAUCGUAAAACUCUGUUAUUAGGGAAGAACAAAUGUGUAAGUAACUAUGCACGUCUUGACGGUACCUAAUCAGAAAGCCACGGCUAACUACGUG